AUUCAUGACUUUGUAGCUGGGCCUCCGUCUGAUUCAUUCCAACCAGUUUCCUACAAAUUCUGUGUUUCAGGCUGAGUAAUCAAUUCAAUUGGGUUUAUGAACACUGAGAACAUAAUUCUCGUGACAAUUGGUCCUUCGAGACGGAUCUCAAUACCUGCCUCUGUCGUCCCAAGGAACUGCUGAAAACCGUGCACGGGCGGAUCUAAGAUCCGUAAGACAAAGACCUGACCUCUGAGUUGAGGGUUUAUUUCAGGCCAGUGGCGAACUGGUACACGACAGAGGUGGUGACGAGAUCCAACCUACAUUGCUUUUCCCAGUCUUCAAGAGAAGAUUUUAUGCUCUACAGGUGAAUUACAGGAGAAGGUGAUUCACUCAAUCCAGUCCCUGAGGAGAAUAGACAGGAAGCAGCCCCGUUGGGAGGGGCCAUACUAAGUACUCCUGGUGACAGCCUUCGCAGUGAGAAAAGCUGAAAGAGCUACCUGGGUUCAUAUCACACAUUGCAAGAGGGUAAGACACACUGACACUGUCGAACAAUCACAGAGUUAGGAGAAGAACCGAAACCAAUAGGGUUCGGGGGUUUCCUCUCUAACAAAGAUUCCCUGACCCAGCCCUGUGUGCAUUCAUAGAAGUGAAAGUGCGGGCUGGCCUCUAGCUGAGGAUAUGUUCUCCGGGAAAGGGUGGGGCUUUACAGGAGUGCUGAUUGGUCUGAGCUGUCUUAUUGUGGGAGCAAUAUUCCUAAAUACACCAUGACCCAUCCCGAGAAUGCAGAAGGUGGUAACUUGACCCAUAGCUUAGACGAUGAGGAUUUUGCAUUAACCAAGCAUAAGAGUUCACUUGAUCUGGAUAAACAGGAAGUUAGAGUGUAGAUUGGGAAGGAUGUCUCAAUGGAGUUUUAUGUAGACCAAAUGGGGUCUCUGACUCCUUGGCAGUCUAGGACUAUGAGUCAUUAUGGAAUAUAUCUGUGCAGGUCCCCGUGUAGUUUAUGGACACAGGUCCUAGCUCACAUAGAGAGAGAGGGCUAUAUGAAUCCAUAUGGAAGGAGGUAGAGUAUAAGUGAAGGUGAGGAGUUUUUGACUGCAAUCCGGAGCGAGAGAAGUAUUGCUUAAAGGUACGAAUUACCGUUAAAAACGUAAAGAAGGAUGAUCUAGGGUUAUGAUAUGUUGGUUUUGACCAAGUUUCGGUUGACACCCUAGUGCCAUUCCGGGUAGAAGAAGUGAGGGCAGGUGAUAGCUCUAUAGUCAGCCAGAAUACAAGCAGAGCCCCUGACAAAACAGAUACUGACAGCAGAGUCGUCCAGAGCCAAGGGCCGGUGCGGAUAGUGCAGACGAAAGAUCUUAAGGAAGUGAUUGAGGUGGAAACGGGUUAUGGGGAUUCUAACCUAUGGGUAGAAUGUUUUCAGUAUACAGCCAGAUCAGUAGCGAAAUAAGAAUGUUAUGCCUGCGCCACAGCAAAACCCCAUUGGACAACCAUUCCCUUUACAUUUGAUGGAAUUGAUGCACCCAGGGGAGUGGCCUGUAUGGUAAAGCUGUUCAUGAGGGCAGGGAAGCCGGACAAUGACAGUUGCAUUGAUCUGCAUGAUCUGUAUUCCCAUGUGCCCAUUACAUGCAGAUUUCCCCCUUUCACAGUUACAGAAGGACAUUAUUAUUGCAUGGCUCGAUACAUAACACACGGAUGGGACGUAGGGGAAGUAAGAACAUAGAACAGCCAUAGGACAGAGAAUGUUACAACCGACAAGACAAUGAGGGACCUGACUGGCAGAUGAAAAGGCCUAGAGUGUGGAGGUAUGAAGCUGUGGCCUAACCUGUCCACCAAUUGGACCGGUAGUUGUACACUAGUGCAGUUAGGCAUGCCCUUCACCCUUACCUAGAGCCAGGUAGAAGAAGGAGUGCUCCGUCAGGAUCUUUGGACAAUAGAGUUUACAUUGAUAGCAUUGGAGUUCCAAGGGGGUUACCUGAUGAGUUCUGGAUUGGAACCAAGCAUCUUCUGGCGAUAACAGCUGCAACUAGGUUGAUGGGAUGUCAGAAUAGAUUAGCCUUGGCUGGCUGAAAAGGGUGGGGGGUGUAUGAGGUUUUCAUCCCUGAUAACACAGCUCCAGACGGACCAGUGACCAAGGCCCUGGCAGAGAACUCUGGGGUAGAUAAUGCUCUAUCAAAUUGGUUUGAUAGUGUGUUUGGGAAAUGGAAAAAUGUCAUGAUCACUGUGUAGUGGGCAACCUUCACCUGUGUGACUGUGUUAGUUUUGUGCGGAUGUUGUGUGAAAGGUUCUCAUUUCCAGGACUCUGGAGAAAUCGAUGAUGCAACAGAUGGUGAGAUAUGGACAGAUUCCGAGCUCUGACCAGUGGAAUGAUGAAUACAUGACCCCAGAUCUAGUAGAUGGACCCGGCUCCUUCACUUAUGAGGAGCCUAUGUUACAUGAGAUCAUUAUUAAGGUUUAGGUUUCCUCUUGUGCUGUGGUUAAGACUGUUUUUUGAUGGAGAUUAUAACGAAAAUCCUGAUAAGAAGAGUUAUGAUUCUGAUGUAGGCCUAGAACAGUCAUUGUAAAUACAUAUAUUGGUUUUUGUGUGGUUAAUUUUUUGGGUAUAAUUGAUAUUUCAAAUAAAAAUAGAUGUGGGAUUGUGUGUAUAAUAUUUAGUCAUAGGGUGGAUUGUUAUGGGAUUUUUAUGAAUAAUGACUAAAUGAUGUAUACAUUUAACUUAGAACUAUAACUAACAGAAUUAUAUCCUGUCUGAUAAAUAAUGUUUGUCCAUAAGAAAGAGGGACUGUUAGUAGGCAAGGAACUGUGGCAGACAACUUGUGACCACUGUGAAACUGAUAACAGGGAAGGAAGUCUCCCCACCCAGGGAGGGGAGAAACCUUGGGCUUGCAGUAGAUUGUGUAACAUGUUGCAGGAUGUGAUAAGCAAUGUAUGCAUAGGAGAAGACUUGUAAACUAUAUUGUCAUUGUCUAAGAGUAGGAGGGACAUUUAUGACGAAAUGAGAGGUAUAUAAACCAAUGUACAUGUAAUGAUUGGCAGAGCUCUCUAAAUAAACAUUCAUGACUUUGUA